AGGAUACAAACGUACCCCACACCAGUGGUUCCCGAACAGAGCAGUAUCGCUACCUGAGGAUGGGAGUGUUUGCGUUGGUGUUUCAGAAACGAAAGGUGUAUCAGAUGAGCUUAAAACUUCAUUGGACCGGAUUCUCGACCUAAACGAUGUCUCAUCAAAUGAUAGCUUAUUCAAGUACCUCUGGGAUGGCUCCAAUAUAAAUACUAGCAGAGGACGUACUGUGAGCCACCGAAAGUCGAGG